UGCGCCGUAACUGCAAAGAGCUAUACGGAUGAGAUAUGUGUUAAAUUUAAAAACGAUAUAAAACUCCACUAUACUUGUAGUGCAAACUCGCUAACUAAAUAAGUAAAUGCUGGGCUGGGGCGAUAUAGCUAUGGAAACUUUAUGAGAUGGCAAAUGAAUGUUCAAAAAAAAAUGAAUUGAGUGAAAUAAAAAUGAAUAAAAUUUUGUGCAAUUACAAACCAUAAAUUAUACAGCUGCAAUUAUGUUUUGCAAGUCUGCAGGAAGAAAUUAAAAAUGUACUAAAACAAAAUAGAUACCAUAAAAACUAUUGUAAAGAAACUAUCCAGUGUGCCGGGUAAUUCUUCAUCGAUUAUUUCCAUAUCACCGCUGAAAUGAUUCAAUAGACGUCCUAUUGGCGUGAUAUCGAAGAAAUUGCAAACCGGUGCGCGCAUUAUAAAUUUAAGCAAAUCAUUGUGUAGGUCCUCGGCUGCCUUGAGUGUGCCAGAGUACAGCAGGACGACGGCGAAAUAAGCGAACAAGCCUAUGUUUCAACAGGCGUAGUUGCCAGCGUAUACACCAAUAAUAUGUUCAGGAGUGGG